GUGCCCCGGGGCAUCCGGCUCGCCCCACGGGCGGGCUGGACCCACGAGGACUCCCUCGAGGAACUUGAUCGAAGAACAAAACCAUCGUCCGACCGGCCUCGUUUCCUCCCCCCGCCCUUCCCCGGCCCGGCUCACCCCGCUCAUUGGCCCCCAAGUCAUGGCUUCACUUCUCCAUUUCUUUACGUUGGGCCCGGGUGCCUCCUUCGGAGGUGGUGGCUAAUCGGGGCACGUUAAAAGGCGAGCUUCCCCCUCGCCGACCAGUAAGGAAGUCGCUCGCGCGCCCUGCGGCACCGCUCCCCCCCCCCCGGCACCCGGACAUGCGGCGCCACGCGCGGCCCCUGGGCGUGCUGGCAGGUAGGCUGCGUCCCACAACUGCCCUCUCGCUCGCACACCACCCCGGGAGGGCCCUGGUGCUUCCCCUGCCCCUGGGCACGCCGUUUUGGGGUGCCCCCCUCACCCCCUCCCCACCCCCUGGUACCCACCCGGGGCUCCCCGGGCACCUUUGCGGAAGAAGGGGCGCCGGGAGGGGGCGGGUGGGGGGAUGUGGCUUGGGGUUGAUGCGGGGAGCGGGGGGCAGGUGGCAGAGGGAUGGGGUCACCCUGCUUGGCUGGUGUGUCCCCCGAGCCCCCAAAUACCCCCAAAAUCCAUGCUGGGGAGGGCUGGGAGCUGGGUGCUGCUCCGGUGCUGAACUCACGUGGCUGCGGUGACAGCGGGGCUGGAGCAGCACCGGCUGGGACGGAGGGGACGCACCCAGGAGUGCUACCACUGUCCCCAGUCUGUGGUGGCCCUGCGGUGGCCUGUGCUGACAGGGAGCUGCUUGGGCAACCACUGGGGCCAGCGGGAGCUGUCUGCACUCCUCGAUGCCUCGAGGGCACCUUCUUCCUCCUCUUCCUCCUCCUAAUAUUCUUCCUAACGCUCCUUUUCCUUCUCCUCUUUCUCUUUGUCCUCUUCAUCCUUGCCCUCCUCCUUAUCCUCCUCCUCCUCCUCCUCAUGCCGAAGGCCCUGGCAGGUCCCAGCAGCUGGCACCCAGCACGGUGGCUGCCCUGUCCCUGCGGCACCACGGGGCACCUUGUCACCAUACCCGGCACGUGCAGCCCUCUCCUCCAGGCCUGGCGCCAGGGUGAUGGGCACCCGGGACGGACAUCCCUGCUCCCCAUCCCCACCCCACGUGUCGCCGCGUCCCCUUGCCCCGCAGCGAGAGGCUCCCCCGUCUCCACCAUCUCCCUCCUCUUCCUCCCCAGCCGUGGCCAAGGGACUCUUCCUCCUCUGGGCCGUGCCAGCGCGGAGCGCGCAGCCCCCGACCCUGCAGCAGAUCCACGCCCUGGUGCGGCACAUGGCCGAGGACGCGCGGGAGCUCUUCUUCUUCUACGAGCAGGAGCAGCACCUGGCCUUCACCCGGCUGUGCCGCACCAACACCUCGCUGGAGUGGCUGCGGGGGACGGUGGUGACGGGGACCGGGGGGCUGCGGGCACUGCACGGGGCCAUGGCCCGCAUGGACCGGGCGCUGCAGGGCAUCAGCCAGCACCAGCGCGACCUCCACCCCCCCCGGGGCCCCCAUCCUGCGCCGCCUCGACAGCACCCGCCUGAAGGUGCGGGGCCUCCUCAGCAACCUGGAGGGAGUCCUCCACGCCCACGGCAUCGUCCCCACCGUCCCCACCCUGCCCCGGCUGCCGGCGGCCACCGGAGUCUUCCAGCAGAAGUUGGAGGGGUGCCGGAUCCUCUGGAGCUACGCACGCUUCACGGAGCAGCUCAGCACCCAGCUGGAGGAGCGAGGGCUGCGGGCGCGCCGGGAGGAGAGGAGGCAGCAGCGGCGAGGCCGGCGGCGAGGCCGGCGGCCAGCGAGGUCCUAGGGAGCCCCUGCCACCCCCGCUGCUGUCACCCGAGCUGUCCCCAGCGCCCUGAGGCUUGCGGUUGGAUGCGGAGAGCCCGGCGCGCGCGCGGCUGGCGCUGGCACAGACGUCCCCCAGGUGCCACCGCGUGUGGAGGGCAACAUCGGCCAGCGGGGUCACUCUGGGUUGGUGACGUCCCCCGUUUGCCAGCCCUGCCUGAUUUUCCAGUGAUUCAAUGGGUCUGGUGACACGGCCUGACUAAGGGGCCGCUCGCACGGCACCCGCACGCCCGGCGCAGGCAGGGUGCAGCCCCAGACCGACCCUGGCCGCUUGUGCCACCGGCUUGUCACCGGCUUGUCACCCCCUGCCUGCCUCUUGAGGGGUUCGCUGAACCCAGAGAGCAUCUGAGGGUGGCUUUCCUUGAGCCUGGCGUCCCUGUGAGCUUGGUGUCCCCAUGAGCCUGGUGUCCCCGUGCACUCUGUGAGCGCAGUGUCCCUGUGCUCAUCCCUGCACGCCUGGUGUCCCCGUGCCUGUCCCCGUGUCUCAUGUCCCUGCAUUGUGUCCCCUCAGCAUCCCCGUGCCCACCCCUGGGCCCUCGGUGUCCCCAGCGUCCCCGAGCCCUGCACUGUGCGGGUGGGCACCGGUCCCCCAGUAACUUAUACGUGACAGUGGUGCAGCUCCCCUAUUUAUUGAAACCAUCGGUUUAAUUUAAUAUGUCCCUGCACCUGGGAGAAAUAUUUAAGGAUACCUUUUUUUAAUAUAUAAAUUAUAUAUAUCUAUUUUUGUUAUUUUUUUUUGUACUGUGUUAAGCUGUAAAGGUAACGAUGUUUUAUUUAUGAAUCUAAAUAUUAUUUUGUACUGGGAGAAGGGCACCACCGGGCCAUCCUGCCCAGGUGGUGCCCCCUUAUUUUUAUAUCACAGCAGACGGAAAUAAAGCAUUGACCUCGGCCCGUGGGCUGCUGCCU
rnacentral:lncRNA from 1 species